rnacentral:rRNA from 1 species
CGGGUUAGUAACACGUGAGCAACCUGCCUCGAAGCGGGGGAUAGCCUUCCGAAAGGGAGAUUAAUACCGCAUAUGGUCCACCCUUUAAAGGGGUGGAUCAAAGGAGCCUUCGGGUUUCACUUCGAGAUGGGCUCGCGGCCUAUCAGCUUGUUGGUGAGGUAACGGCUCACCAAGGCAACGACGGGUAGCUGGUCUGAGAGGAUGAUCAGCAACACUGGAACUGAGACACGGUCCAG